AUACAGCUGACGAGCCCCAAAUAGGAUAAAACGCACGUCCUGGAU
rnacentral:hammerhead_ribozyme from 1 species